UCCCUGGCAGUCCAGUGGUUAUGACUCUGCACUUCUAAUGCAGGGGGCACAGAUUUGAUCCCUGGUCAAGGAG
rnacentral:tRNA from 1 species